rnacentral:rRNA from 2 species
GAAGAGUUUGACCCUGGCUCAGGAUGAACGCUAGCGGAACGCCUAACACAUGCAAGUCGAACGAGAGUUAUUUUGUAGCAAUACAAGAUAAUGAAAGUGGCAAACGAGCGAGUAACACGUACUUAACCUGCCCAGAAGUUGAGGCCAACUACAGAGAUGUAGCUAAUCCUCAAUAGUAUCUAAGUGAUGAAAUUAGCUUAGAUUAAAGAUUUAUCGCUUUUGGAGGGGGGUGCGGCCUAUCAGGUAGUUGGUGAGGUAAUGGCUCACCAAGCCUAUGACGGGUAGCCGGUCUGAGAUGAUGUCCGGCCGCGAUGGGACUGAGAUACGGCCCAUACUCCUACGGGAGGCAGCAGUGGGGAAUCUUGCACAAUGGACGAAAGUCUGAUGCAGCGAUUCCGCGUGGAGGAUGACGCAUUACGGUGUGUAAACUCCUUUUCUGGUGGAAGACGAAUGACGGUACACCAGGAAUAAGGGACGGCUAACUACGUGCCAGCAGCCGCGGUAAUACGUAGGUCCCAAGCGUUAUCCGGAUUUACUGGGCGUAAAGAGUCUGUAGCCUGAUAUAUAAGUCUGUUUUCAAAUACCUGGACUCAAUCGAGGGAAGGGGAUAGAUACUGUAUAUCUAGAGAUAUUUGGGGGUUAGUGGAAUUUCCGGUGGAGCGGUGAAAUGCGUUGAUAUCGGAAAGAACGCCAAAAGCGAAAGCAGCUAACUACAAUACAUCUGACGGUGAGAGACGAAAGUUUGGGGAGCAAACGGGAUUAGAUACCCCGGUAGUCCAAACCUUAAAUUAUGCUUGCUAGGUGUUUAGAUCUUUCGGGAUCUGAGUGCCGUAAUCUAACGAGUUAAGCAAGCCGCCUGGGUAGUAUAUUCGCAAGAAUGAAACUCAAAGGGAUAGGCGGGGGAACACACAAGCAGUGGAUUGUCUAGAUUAAUUGGAUACAAAGCCAAGAAUCUUACCUAGGAUUGACAUGCAAUGUGUCAUAUAUGAAAGUAUAUUAUCCGUAGCAAUACGGAGCUUUGCACAGGUGGUGCAUGGUCGUCGUCAGCUCGUGCCGCAAGGUGUCUAGUUAAGUCUAGUAACGAGCGCAACCCUCGUCCUUAGUUAGAAUGUCUAAGGAGACUGCCUGGGUAACCAGGAGGAAGGAGAGGAUGACGUCAGAUCCUCAUGCCCCUUACACCUAGGGCUUCAUAGACAAUACAAUGGGUAGUAACAACGAGAAGCAAUACCGCGAGGUGGAGCAAAUCUUUAAACCUACCCCUAGUUCGGAUUGUAGUCUGGAACUCGACUACAUGAAGUUGGAAUUGCUAGUAAUGGCGGAUCAGCUAUGCCGCCGUGAAUAUGUCCCUGUUCCUUGCACUCACCGCCCGUCAAACCAUGGGAGCUGAGGUUCUUUGAAGACUCGCUAUGCGGGUUAAGGAGGAAAUCAGUGACUGGGGUUAAGUCGUAACAAGGCAUCCCUACGGGAACGUGGGGAUAGACCACCACCC